rnacentral:rRNA from 1 species
GACGAACGCUGGCGGCGUGCUUAACACAUGCAAGUCGAACGGUGAAGCGCCUUCCUUGUUGGUGGGUGUGGAUGAGCGGCGAACGGGUGAGUAACACGUGAGUAACCUGCUCCCUCCUGCUGGAUAACCGCAAGAAAGUGCGGCUAAUACGGGAUAUUCUGAGUCUGUCGCAUGAUGGGUCUGGGAAAGAUAUGGUUUCGGUGGGGGAUGGGCUCGCGGCCUAUCAGCUUGUUGGUGUGGUGAUGGCCUACCAAGGCGGUGACGGGUAGCCGGCCUGAGAGGGUGGACGGUCACACUGGGGCUGCGCCCCGGCCCCGCCUCCUACGGGCGGCAGCAGUGGGGAAUAUUGCACAAUGGGCGCAAGCCUGAUGCAGCGACGCCGCGUGAGGGAUGGUGGCCUUCGGGUUGUGAACCUCUUUCGCCAGUGAAGCAGGCCUGCCUCGUUUGUGGGUGGGUUGACGGUAGCUGGAUAAGAAGCGCCGGCUAACUACGUG